ensembl:lncRNA
GUUCUGUUCUCGGUGAGGCGACGCAAACACGUUGCUUCAGAACUGGCUAAAAGAUGCGCAUGGAGGAGGUUGGCUAGCUGAUUCAGCAUGAUUAGCACCCUUGGAAGCAGAAAGAGUUUUCACGGUGCCAUAUUGUCGGUGGUUCAAAAGAGGAGAGAAUAAAGUUGCAUCAGUCGAAGCUCUCUGCGUCAUGAGUGGUAAUUCCAAGUGGGCAGCUACGCCACCUGCAGACUGACGGGUUGGUGGAGUGGCUGAAUAAGACUUUAAAGUCCAUGAUUCAUAAGUUCGUUCACGAGGUUAGACCCUCUGUUGUUUGCAGCACGGGAGGUUCCCCAGCCCCCCAUAAUUGUGUUUAACUGAAAGUGAAAAUUAAAGGAAGUUUCUAGAACUAUCUGGCUUUUUUAUUUUGUUUGUUUUUUAUUUAUAUUCUUCAAAAUAACAUUACACUUGGGAGGAUACAUGCAUUUGACCUUGACCUACCAAUGUCAGAGUUUACUUUAAUUGAACUUCUUCACAAACCUUUAACGUCUUCAUUAAGGAAAUCAUUUCAAGAAACCAUCCAUGCUCUUCCACUUAUCCUUGGCAGGGUCAUGGGGGGCCAAAGCACAUCCCAUAGCGUGAGAAGGCGGGUAAUCUCUGGACGAGUCUGUUGCAGGGCUAACACAGAGAAACGGACAAUUAUUCACACUCACAUUCACACCUAUGGGGAAUUAAGAAUGACCAAGAACCUAACCCCACUGCAUGGUCUUGCAAAAUUACCCACUGCACGGAUAUAGCUUAAAAUCUCAAGGUUUAACAGCUUAUAGAAGCCAAAAAUGUCAGCCGCUUUUGGUCAUGUCAUAUGGAUAAGGUAAGAUAAUGAGUUGGGGAAUGGCUGCAAUCACAGCAUUGUAAGAUGGUGAAAGAU